rnacentral:lncRNA from 1 species
AACAGAUGUGCCCAAAAUGUCUCAUAGCGUGCAAGACAACAAACAUACACAGAAUGACAGAAAAACACAGAAAAGUGCUGUAAAAACUUUUUGUUGUUUCCUGUGUUAAUGCUCAGAUUGCUCAUUCUUGUAAGUGCCGACGUUAAUGUUGAUAAUGUGGUCCUUUGAUCAAACAAACACAUUUUUGUGGCACCCGCUGUGAUAGAAGUUGUCCACCUCUGCUCUACACGCUGGCUGCUGAUUGACAGGUGGGGCAGGUGUGAGUGCUUUGCCGAGGCGUCCCACCUGUCAGUACGACCCCCUCGUGUCCACAAACACACACACUCAUCUUUUCCUCUGUUGCUCCGCCUCCCUGACCCUCGACCCCCUGAGCAACUUCCUAUCCCCACGGGUAAGGCAGCACCCCCGCCCCCCCCUUCCUCCUUUUCUCUCCACCGUGACCUGGGUCGCUGUCGUAGCUGGUAAAUAACAGGUCGGGCCUUACCUGCCCUGCUGAACGCUGCUACUGUUUACAGCCAUGACUUCUAACCUCGGACCCCCCACAAACAUUCCCUCACCAUUCUAACGCCCCCUGAAGUCCACAUCUCCUGUUACAGUGUCCUGAAGCUGAUGAUGGCAGUUCCUGAUCUGUGGUUCACGGCUCAUCUAGUCUGGGACACUCUGAUGUUCAAUCUCGCUAUCCUGUUCUGUUGGUCCUUCUGUCCACUAACCCCAACCAGUCAAAGCAGACGAAUGCCACCUCUGAACCUGGUUCUGCUGGAGAUUUAUUCCUGCUAAAAGGGAGUUUUUUCUUCCCACUGUCGCUAAUGAUUGUUCAUGUGGAUUUUGUUGGGUUUUUUCAUACUAAUUUAAUAUUUUGAUAGCGCUUUGAAAUGACUUUUGUUGUAAUCUGCACUAUAUAACUAAAGUUGAAUUGUAUUGAAUUUUUUAUAAAGCUUUUCUUUCGGUUCUCAUCUCUCUGAGCAACAUCUUUUUCUUCUCAGUCUGCUAAUUAAAGGAGCCGAGGGGAACAAACAGCGUCCUGGGGACUCAGCUCAACGUGUCAACAGAGCCGCUGUUGCUGCUCCACAGGCUGGUUCAGCUCAGAGAGCCUGUCAGCAGCUUGGGCCAGUCCUCCAAGACAUCUGCAGUUUAUCAAACAUGCUCGUUUCUCUGUCUUCAGCUUCUCUCUGCAGUGCCCAGCUCUCAGCGUUGAAUAGUUUGAAAAAAAGAGAAAAAGAAGUGCACUUUGUGCUACAGCUGAAGUUGAGGAAACAUGAGAUGGCUGCAGGAUUGUUUGCACAACGUUAGCAUGCAGUUGGCAGAGUCACAGAGAGAACGGUAAUUAUGAGCCGGGUUGAGUCAGGAUCCCCAGAGAGGUGGACUUCCUCUGUGUUCUCAGUGAAUCUCAGCGCUGCAUUGUUGAAGUAAUGUGACAGUACAUGUAGAAAAUGAAACACAACAACAUUUAACCUUUGCAUGAUGUAUUGUAUUGUUUUGAUCUGGAAUGGCCUCGGCACUACCGAAUGAAAAGCUGUGACCCAAACCAUCAAAAUAAUCUAUAGAAAAGUUUCUUGAAAGUGAAGAGGGCAAAGGUUCAUGGGCUUUAUUGUGAAGGAGUCUGAGGGCUUGUGGGUAGAAGCAGUUGGUCAGGUGUAUAUUCUCUGUUUUGCCCAUUAAACUAUCCUUUGCCAUAACAUACCACCUGGUUUCUCCUAAUUUGGCCACUCUUGACUGCUUUGGGCUCAUUUUAGUCACUUUUCACUCUUUUCUUGCCACGUUUUUGCCACUUUUGGACCCCUUUUGGCCAUCUGUUACUAAGUCUGCCUCCUCAUAAAAAAACAACAAAUAAAAACACAUAGCGGACCA